UGUGAAUUCAAGCCAGAAGAGAAAAGAAAAAGAGAGUAAGCAAGGGUGGAGUAAAGAGAGGAAAAUACAAUCCAGAGUACCCACUAUCUGAUCUCCAGUGUCUGCUGGAAAUGCUGAACUUUGCCAGCCUCUUCAAAUCAUCUGUCAGAAUCAGGCCCAAAUGAGAUGGUUGCAGUCACUUCCAUGACAUUCUUACCUUUCCAGGUUUAUUCUUAACUGGUGUUCAGGGGGUCCUCACUGUAUCUCCAGUAGAUCCUUGAGAAUUAAAUAGCUUAACAAAUGUAAUGAGCAAACCUGAAAGAAGUACAAGUGGAGAAGUUUGGAAGGGAAAUUAUCCAAGGCAAACCUGAGAAGAUAUCAUGGGCCUAGGAUGGGGAGAUGUAUAUGAUAAUUACAGAUCCAGCAAGGGCUGUACAUCAGAGGGAGGAGAGCUAUUACAUGCAACUCCACAUCUCAUGUCCAUUCAGGGUUCUUUAUCUCACUGCUGUUGACUACACCGAGGGUUGGCAGCCACUGAAGGUUACAUGCCAGGUUAUAUGUUUCUUUCCCAAAUUUGAAGUUACAUGUGCAAGAGCUGGAAGAUGCUGCAGAUGCUCCAGAGUUGAGUGGCUGGUUGGGUGUGUGUUGUAGCAAGGCUUCCCAUCUCCUGGGAACUGGGCUUGGGACGGGGUGGAAGCCAAGAGCUGGCAGCCUCUUUCCUCAAGAGGCUGCAGGUCCCAUUCCUGGCCAGUGUUUUUUGGUGUUGGGCACCCUCUUGCUAAAACAGCUGGUAUCUGACAGGUGCAGGCUCCUGUGAGGGAUUUGGUUCCAUUCUGCUGUUAUUCUCAUUGGGAAUUGCAGCUCUAUUGUUCAUAUACUUUAAAUGAUAUACAUAAUUACUAUUUAACCUGUGACUACGCAUCCCCAGGCCUUACCCUUGUGAGUUCCAGUGACUUCAAUAAUAUCACAAAUUUGUAUCAAAGAAAGUUUCCACAAUGAGUCCCUUAUUGCUUGUGGCUUGGCUUGUUACAUACAUUGGUUCUAGUCCCAUUUUUCAGUUCUCGUUGGACUGCAUUCUUGGUUUUUACGUAUCCACGUGCAAUUUAGGCCUAUGAUUAUCUGCCUAACUCUAGUUAGUUCUUUCACUGUGUACCACAGUAUGUUUACCAAGCCUUUGUAACAAAAAUGUUUUAAAUUGUUGUAUUACCUCUCUUGAGUGUGCAUGUUGUUUUAAAAUGAAUUUGAAUUAGUGUUGAGUGGCUUCUGUGUUUGUAAUUAAUUUAAAAUAUUUAGUAUAGCAGCUAGGUUUUUCCCUAUUAAUAACUGUGCUUUACUGAAAUUCCAUGAUCUACAGCACACCCUAGUGAUAUCUGGAAAUCAUGAAGUUAGACCCAGUCAUUUUUGCUUGCUCUGUGGUGAAACAAAGUUUAGGACUCCACUAAGCAACUCAGUCCAUGAAAGGAAAUGCCUUCAUAUCCAAAAUGGGAAGAGGGUUGAACCCUUGAUUUAUAAGAUAAAAAGUAGACUUAGAAAUUAAAACUACAGUAUAUUCUUCUGUGAAGAGAGCAUUUAUUUCAUGAGUUCACCUGGUUUACACUCUGAAGCGUUGGACGUGUUUUAAUAAUAGAGCAUAGGGAAAAGCAGCUAGAGUUGUGUGAGAAAAGAGGAAAAUAUUAACUGAGAUUUUUUUUUAGACUGGAGAGAGCAUGGAGAGAGCAACCAAAUAAAAGUAUUGUGGAGGAAACCA
rnacentral:lncRNA from 1 species